rnacentral:lncRNA from 1 species
AGCUGGAUCAGGUGUCGUUGCAAAAAAUUCUUAACUGCUGGCGGUGCUGAGAGUGUGGAGGCUCGGCGGGACAGAGAAACGUGCCUGGGUGGCAGCAGCCCUUUAGCCCUGAACGAACGGCCAUCAACACCAAGUACGAGACCGGCUGUACUUGCAAGCUGCUGCACUGACGGGCCAAAGCCCUGGAGCGCUGCAGUGUGCUGCG